rnacentral:rRNA from 1 species
AUGGCGAUCAGCUAUUACUCGGCACAUGCAAAACUGGCAUGGAUCUUUGCGCUGCUGCUCAUCCUGGUUACGACGACGAUUCAAGUCCACUGCCAGUCUCCUCCUGGGUUUAUAAGCGUUGACUGUGGAUUCACAAACACUAGCGCCUACAAUGACAGCAUCACAGGAAUACAGUUCGAUCCUGACAGUGGAUUUGUUGAAGGUGGUUUAAACAAUAAAAUUUCAGCAGAGUUUAUGGUUGGUUCAGAUGAGCAACAGAAAACCCUGAGGAGCUUCCCCGAUGGCUCCCGGAAUUGCUAUACGCUGCCAUCCACCGCCGGCACCAAGUAUCUGCUGAGGGCCACAUUUACUUACGGCAACUACGAUGGGUUGAACAAAAGUCGGGACGGCUCGCUGUUUCUGUUUGGGCUCCAUAUCGGCGUCAAUAUCUGGGAGGCGGUGAACAUGACAAAUUGGGAUCCAUCACUCACGAUAUGGAAGGAGGUAAUCACCGUUGCUCCAGCCAACUCGGUGUCAGUUUGUCUGAUAAACUUCAGUUCAGGGACUCCAUUUGUGUCUGCUCUGGAGUUGAGGCCACUUGACGAUUUGAUGUACCCUUUUGUGAAUUCUUCGGUGUCAAUCAGCUACUUUAAACGGAUCAGAUUUGGUGAAACCACUGAAUUUAUCACAAGAUAUAAAUUGGACCCGUACGACCGGUUCUGGGAGGCCUGGUUGUUGACCACGUACCCUUGGAUCAGCUUAAACACUAGCGAUCGAGUGAGGAGGCUACCCGGGGACAACACCUUCCAGGUACCAGAGGGCAUCCUCCAGCAGGCCUCUACCCUAGACACGAACUUCUCCUUCCUCGAGAUCAACGUGACAGUGGGUCCCAACCUGGACGCCAAGAACCUGGAGCUUCUUCCCAUCUUCCAUUUUGCUGAGAUCAACAGCAGCAACCCGAGCAGGAGAUUUGAUAUCUACAGCGACAACGAAUUGCUAUUCCCAGACUUCUCGCCGUCCCGCUUCCAGGUGGACAGCAUGCACCAGAACGGGCGGUUCUUGCACAACCCUGCUGCGAUCUUCCGCCUGAACAGGACACGUAGAUCGAGGCUCCCACCGCUCAUCAAUGCGUUUGAGGUGUACUCACUCGUUCGGAUGGAUAACCUCACCACUGACUCCAACGAUGUCAAUUACAUGAAAGAAGUCAAGAAACACUACAAUUUGGCACGAAUAAACUGGAACGGAGAUCCAUGCUCCCCAAGAGAGUAUUCCUGGGAAGGUUUAACUUGCGACUACUCUAAGAGCAACCAGAAUCCGAGGAUUGUCGCAGUAAAUCUGUCUACCAGCGGACUGAAAGGUGGAUUGGUCAUAUCAUUCAUGAACAUGGUAUCACUGGAAAACUUGGAUUUAUCACACAACAAUUUGACAGGAGCUAUUCCAGACUACCAAAUAAAGUCACUCAAAGUUCUCGAUUUGUCAUAUAACCAGCUUGAUGGGCCAAUCCCGGAUUCUAUUCUUCAAAGAUCUCACGCUGGUCUGCUUGACUUAAGGUUUGCAUGA